UACAGAGGGUGCAAGCGUUGUUCGGAAUUACUGGGCGUAAAGGGUGCGUAGGCGGUCUUGCAAGUCCCGUGUGAAAUCCCUCGGCUCAACUGAGGAAUUGCACGGGAAACUGCUUGGCUUGAGAUCGGGAGAGGGAAGCGGAAUUCCGGGUGUAGCGGUGAAAUGCGUAGAUAUCCGGAGGAACACCGGUGGCGAAGGCGGCUUCCUGGACCGACACUGACGCUGAGGCGCGAAAGCUAGGGGAGCAAACGGG
rnacentral:rRNA from 1 species